rnacentral:rRNA from 1 species
CCUACGGGGGGCAGCAGUGGGGAAUAUUGGACAAUGGGGGGAACCCUGAUCCAGCCAUGCCGCGUGUGUGAAGAAGGCCCUCGGGUUGUAAAGCACUUUCAGUGAGGAAGAACGCCUGGUGGUUAAUACCCAUCAGGAAAGACAUCACUCACAGAAGAAGCACCGGCUAACUCCGUGCCAGCAGCCGCGGUAAUACGGAGGGUGCGAGCGUUAAUCGGAAUUACUGGGCGUAAAGCGCGCGUAGGUGGCUUGAUAAGCCGGUUGUGAAAGCCCCGGGCUCAACCUGGGAACGGCAUCCGGAGCUGUCAAGCUAGAGUGCAGGAGAGGAAGGUAGUAUUCCCGGUGUAACGGGGAAAAGCGUAGAGAGCGGGAGGGAUACCAGUGGCUAAGGCGGCAUUCUAGACUGACACUGACACUGAGGUGCGAGAGCGUGGGUAGCAAACAGGAUUAGAUACCCGAGUAGUC